ACGCUCGACACCUACGGGAGCAGCAGUGGGGAAUAUUGCACAAUGGGGGAAACCCUGAUGCAGCGACGCCGCGUGGAGGAAGAAGGUCUUCGGAUUGUAAACUCCUGUUGUUGGGGAAAAAGAGGAUGGUACCCAACAAGGAAGUGACGGCUAACUACGUGCAAGCAGCCGCGGUAAUCUGAGCGGGCUGGCAAGGC
rnacentral:rRNA from 1 species